rnacentral:tRNA from 1 species
GCUCUCUUAGCUCAGUUGGAUAGAGCGGCUCCCUCCUAAGGAGCAGGCCGCGCGUUCGAUUCGCGCAGAGAGCACCA